rnacentral:miRNA from 1 species
AUUGGCAUGUCUUGGAAUGAA